rnacentral:rRNA from 2 species
UUAAGCGACUAAGCGUACACGGUGGAUGCCCUGGCAGUCAGAGGCGAUGAAGGACGUGCUAAUCUGCGAAAAGCGUCGGUAAGGUGAUAUGAACCGUUAUAACCGGCGAUGUCCGAAUGGGGAAACCCAGUGCAAUUCGUUGCACUAUCGUUAACUGAAUACAUAGGUUAACGAGGCGAACCGGGGGAACUGAAACAUCUAAGUACCCCGAGGAAAAGAAAUCAACCGAGAUUCCCCCAGUAGCGGCGAGCGAACGGGGAGCAGCCCAGAGUCUGAAUCAGCUUGUGUGUUAGUGGAACGGUCUGGAAAGUCCGACGGUACAGGGUGAUAGUCCCGUACACCAAAAUGCACAGGCUGUGAACUCGAAGAGUAGGGCGGGACACGUGGUAUCCUGUCUGAAUAUGGGGGGACCAUCCUCCAAGGCUAAAUACUCCUGACUGACCGAUAGUGAACCAGUACCGUGAGGGAAAGGCGAAAAGAACCCCGGCGAGGGGAGUGAAAAAGAACCUGAAACCGUGUACGUACAAGCAGUGGGAGCACCUUCGGGUGUGACUGCGUACCUUUUGUAUAAUGGGUCAGCGACUUAUAUUCUGUAGCAAGGUUAACCGUAUAGGGGAGCCGCAGGGAAACCGAGUCUUAACUGGGCGUUAAGUUGCAGGGUAUAGACCCGAAACCCGGUGAUCUAGCCAUGGGCAGGUUGAAGGUUGGGUAACACUAACUGGAGGACCGAACCGACUAAUGUUGAAAAAUUAGCGGAUGACUUGUGGCUGGGGGUGAAAGGCCAAUCAAACCGGGAGAUAGCUGGUUCUCCCCGAAAGCUAUUUAGGUAGCGCCUCGUGAACUCAUCUUCGGGGGUAGAGCACUGUUUCGGCUAGGGGGUCAUCCCGACUUACCAACCCGAUGCAAACUACGAAUACCGAAGAAUGUUAUCACGGGAGACACACGGCGGGUGCUAACGUCCGUCGUGAAGAGGGAAACAACCCAGACCGCCAGCUAAGGUCCCAAAGUCAUGGUUAAGUGGGAAACGAUGUGGGAAGGCACAGACAGCCAGGAUGUUGGCUUAGAAGCAGCCAUCAUUUAAAGAAAGCGUAAUAGCUCACUGGUCGAGUCGGCCUGCGCGGAAGAUGUAACGGGGCUAAACCAUGCACCGAAGCUGCGGCAGCGACACUAUGUGUUGUUGGGUAGGGGAGCGUUCUGUAAGCCUGCGAAGGUGUGCUGUGAGGCAUGCUGGAGGUAUCAGAAGUGCGAAUGCUGACAUAAGUAACGAUAAAGCGGGUGAAAAGCCCGCUCGCCGGAAGACCAAGGGUUCCUGUCCAACGUUAAUCGGGGCAGGGUGAGUCGACCCCUAAGGCGAGGCCGAAAGGCGUAGUCGAUGGGAAACAGGUUAAUAUUCCUGUACUUGGUGUUACUGCGAAGGGGGGACGGAGAAGGCUAUGUUAGCCGGGCGACGGUUGUCCCGGUUUAAGCAUGUAGGCUGGUUGUCCAGGCAAAUCCGGAUAAUCAAGGCUGAGGUGUGAUGACGAGGCACUACGGUGCUGAAGUAACAAAUGCCCUGCUUCCAGGAAAAGCCUCUAAGCAUCAGGUAACAUUAAAUCGUACCCCAAACCGACACAGGUGGUCAGGUAGAGAAUACCAAGGCGCUUGAGAGAACUCGGGUGAAGGAACUAGGCAAAAUGGUGCCGUAACUUCGGGAGAAGGCACGCUGGUGUGUAGGUGAAGUCCCUGCGGAUGGAGCUGAGACCAGUCGAAGAUACCAGCUGGCUGCAACUGUUUAUUAAAAACACAGCACUGUGCAAACACGAAAGUGGACGUAUACGGUGUGACGCCUGCCCGGUGCCGGAAGGUUAAUUGAUGGGGUUAUCCGUAAGGAGAAGCUCUUGAUCGAAGCCCCGGUAAACGGCGGCCGUAACUAUAACGGUCCUAAGGUAGCGAAAUUCCUUGUCGGGUAAGUUCCGACCUGCACGAAUGGCGUAAUGAUGGCCAGGCUGUCUCCACCCGAGACUCAGUGAAAUUGAACUCGCUGUGAAGAUGCAGUGUACCCGCGGCAAGACGGAAAGACCCCGUGAACCUUUACUAUAGCUUGACACUGAACAUUGAGCCUUGAUGUGUAGGAUAGGUGGGAGGCUUUGAAGCGUGGACGCCAGUCUGCGUGGAGCCAACCUUGAAAUACCACCCUUUAAUGUUUGAUGUUCUAACGUUGGCCCCUGACCGGGGUUGCGGACAGUGUCUGGUGGGUAGUUUGACUGGGGCGGUCUCCUCCCAAAGCGUAACGGAGGAGCACGAAGGUUAGCUAAUCCUGGUCGGACAUCAGGAGGUUAGUGCAAUGGCAUAAGCUAGCUUGACUGCGAGCGUGACGGCGCGAGCAGGUGCGAAAGCAGGUCAUAGUGAUCCGGUGGUUCUGAAUGGAAGGGCCAUCGCUCAACGGAUAAAAGGUACUCCGGGGAUAACAGGCUGAUACCGCCCAAGAGUUCAUAUCGACGGCGGUGUUUGGCACCUCGAUGUCGGCUCAUCACAUCCUGGGGCUGAAGUAGGUCCCAAGGGUAUGGCUGUUCGCCAUUUAAAGUGGUACGCGAGCUGGGUUUAGAACGUCGUGAGACAGUUCGGUCCCUAUCUGCCGUGGGCGCUGGAGAAUUGAGGGGGGCUGCUCCUAGUACGAGAGGACCGGAGUGGACGCAUCACUGGUGUUCGGGUUGUCAUGCCAAUGGCACUGCCCGGUAGCUAAAUGCGGAAGAGAUAAGUGCUGAAAGCAUCUAAGCACGAAACUUGCCCCGAGAUGAGUUCUCCCUGAGACUUUAAGUCUCCUGAAGGAACGUUGAAGACGACGACGUUGAUAGGCCGGGUGUGUAAGCGCAGCGAUGCGUUGAGCUAACCGGUACUAAUGAACCGUGAGGCUUAACCUU